rnacentral:tRNA from 1 species
GGAUAUAGCUCAGUUGGUAGAGUGCUUGCCUCACAUGCACAAGACCCUGGGUUCAAAUCCCAGCACCA